rfam:Gossypium hirsutum cultivar TM-1 chromosome 4, whole genome shotgun sequence
AACCCAUGGUGAGGGCACCUUCUAAACAGAUUAUUGUAUCUCUCCCAUGCAUCAUAGAGUGUUUCUAAAUCCAUCUGUAUAAAAGAGGAGAUAUCAUUACUUAAUUU